GGGCCCGUAGCUCAGCAGGAUAGAGCAGCGGUUUCCUAAACCGCAGGUCGGAGGUUCGAAUCCUCUCGGGCCCG
rnacentral:tRNA from 1 species